UAGGGAAUCUUCGGCAAUGGACGAAAGUCUGACCGAGCAACGCCGCGUGAGUGAAGAAGGUUUUCGGAUCGUAAAACUCUGUUGUUAGAGAAGAACAAGGACGUUAGUAACUGAACGUCCCCUGACGGUAUCUAACCAGAAAGCCACGGCUAACUACGUGCCAGCAGCCGCGGUAAUACGUAGGUGGCAAGCGUUGUCCGGAUUUAUUGGGCGUAAAGCGAGCGCAGGCGGUUUCUUAAGUCUGAUGUGAAAGCCCCCGGCUCAACCGGGGAGGGUCAUUGGAAACUGGGGGACUUGAGUGCAGAAGAGGAGAAUGGAAUUCCAUGUGUAGCGGUGAAAUGCGUGGAUAUAUGGAGGAACACCAGUGGCGAAGGCGGCUCUCUGGUCUGUAACUGACGCUGAGGCUCGAAAGCGUGGGAAGCAAACAGG
rnacentral:rRNA from 1 species